UAAAAUAAGAGGUCCGCUGCCCUGUGGCUUUAAGUUUACGGCCGCGGUAUUUUGCCGUGGAAGGUAGGCAAUCACUUGUUUUUUAAAUGGGGACCCGUUUGAAUGGCUAAAGGAGGGCUUACUGUUUUCCUUUUUCAGGUCAAAGAAAAUGAUUCCCCCGUGCAGAAGCGGGGGAAAUACAUAAGCGGGGAAGACCCUAAGGGAGCUUUAGGCCCCCAAGCAGCCCAUGUCAAAACCCACCCCCACACGGAAAUAAAAUAAAUGGGCCCUGCCCCUUUUGUUUUUGGUGGGGGGGACCCCGGGGGAAACACAAAACCCCCCACGCGGAAUGGGAGCCCCCCUCCCUAAAACCAAGAGCCACAGCUCUAAUUAACAGAAUUUCUGACCACUAUGAUCCGGCAAUGCCGAUCAACGGACCGAGUUACCCUAGGGAUAACAGCGCAAUCCUCUUUUAGAGCCCAUAUCGACAAGAGGGUUUACGACCUCGAUGUGGAUCAGGACAUCCUAAUGGUGC
rnacentral:rRNA from 1 species